rnacentral:piRNA from 1 species
GAUCCUUCUGCCUCUGUCUC